ensembl:lncRNA
GACAGCCUUUGGAAGAACUUAGGUCAUACAUACCCAUCCCUCCCCGCCCUCCCCCCGCCCCCCGACGCCCAGACCGUCCUCAGCCUCUCCAUUACUCGCUUUGCUUUCCCGGUUUUCCACUCCGGAGCGCAGCUCGGCACGUGCACGCGGGUGUGAGCGCGCCCAGAGGCUGCAGAGACCCGGAGCGUCGCUCGGAUCCGGCCAGAGCGGGUAGGAUCCUCGCUGGCAAGAAAACCAGCGGAGGAAAGGAACUGUGUUUCGCCCAUUACUUUUAUUAGACGAGAGAGGCUAUAGAGGGCGUUUGUCCCGGGUCCCGUUUCAUAGCCGCCUGCUGACUUCAUCAAAAGGGCUCGUCCAGACCGCGAUUCCGCCGCGCGUGGUCAGGCGCACACUGACGCAGCUGGGUGGGAGAGCCGCGGGUACCCAGGAUACUGAGGGACAGAAACAGAAAAACCACGGUUGCGUACGUUUCCUGCCGGCUUCCCUGCUAAGCAUCUUCUGUGCACCUGAGUGUCUUGAUCUCGAGUGAUCCAGGCAAACCUGAUCACACCUCGGGAGCCCUGGCUCUCCUGUAUGAAGCGCGGUGCAUUGCCACGUUGAAUUUUAAGCCCCUAUAGCUAUGCACACUGAAAAUAGCAUUUCAUUUUUAAAAUAAAUUCCUGAGUUAGCAGUCAGCCCCAAACCUUCCAUUCCUUGAGAACAGCGAGCGUGCAUUUUGUUGUUGUUUUUUGCAUCCCGCAUGACGUGUGCCAUUCCCAGCACACAGAUGUUCAUGAAAAAGGAAAGUGAACAAAAGCAAACCAUACUGAUGAUACUGUUAAUGAAAAAUUCAGAGUGGGACCGACCGUUUAAAGCUGAUUAGAUCCUAGCAAGGGUUUUUUUAGAAACAGACAAGUUUCUUCUGAAAUUUAUUUUUAGUGGCAGGAAUCUUAGGAUGGCUAAAACAAUUCUGACAAAGAAGAAUAAAGUGGGAAGAAUCAGUCUACCCAAUUCCAAGACAUUACAUCAUUGGAACAAAAGAGAAAAUCCCAGAAACAAACAUGUAUAAAUAUUCCUGACUUAUUUUGACAGGAUGCAAAGCAAUUCAAUGGAGGAAAGUUAGUCUUUUCAACAAAUGGUGCUGGAUCAAUUGAACGUCUCUAAGCAAG